rnacentral:rRNA from 1 species
GAUGAACGCUGGCGGCGUGCCUAACACAUGCAAGUCGAGCGAAAAGACGAGGAGCUUGCGCCUUUGACGUUGGCGGCGGACGGGUGAGUAACGCGUGGAUAACCUACCUAUAAGACUGGGAUAAUCUCGGAAAACCGGAGCUAAUACCAGAGAAUAUGUCGAACCGCAUGGUUCGAUGGUGAAUGACGGCUUUGCUAUCUCUUAUAGAUGGACCUGCGCCGUAUUGGCUAGUUGGUAAGGUAACGGCUUACCAAGGCGACGAUACGUAGCCGACCUGAGAGGAUGAUCGGCCACACUGGAACUGAGACACGGUCCAGACUCCUACGGGAGGCAGCAGUAGGGAAUCUUGGGCAAUGGGCGAAAGCCUGACCCAGCAACGCCGCGUGAGUGAUGAAGGUCUUCGGGUCGUAAAGCCCUGUUAUUAGGGAAGAACAGCUGUUGAUUAAACCGUGGACGUCUUGACGGUACCUAAUCAAUAAGCACCGGCUAACUACGUG